GUCAGUUGGCUGCUGUGAGGACAAGGGAGAGUCAGUGCUGCUGUAGCUGCCUGUGAGAGACAUUGAGGCGGUGGGCACAUCCUUGAUCCCUCAGUCUGCCAUAAAACAAAGGGAAAAGCUGUGGGAGCACUCACUGGCUGCCUUCCAGCGUGGGAGAUCCUGCACUGAAUUCUCAACAAGGACUUUGCACAGAAGAUUCUGGGUUUCUUUUGUCCCCUCCCUGAAGGGUUCUUUAUUCCUCUCCCACAGUGUUCAGGAGAUGGGGAGUUGUUAAUAUUCAAAUCAUUGUCAUUCGAAGCUCAGAAAUUACAUUUAGAGAUUCUGCUGAAGUAAAUCUCAGAUCCCAGAAUCAUUUAGAGAGGAAAAGCCCUCUGGCAUCAUCGAGUCCAAGCUGUGCCCAAUGCCCAGCCCAGAGCUCUGAGUGCCACCUCCAGGAAUUCCUGGGACAGCUCCAGGGAUGGGAAUUCCAAUGCAGCCCAUUCCAAAGUUUAACGACGUUUUCCAUGGAGAAAUUCCCCCUGCUGGCAGCAGACAUUUAUCUGAUUUAUGCAUCAGAUCUCAGAAUCAUUUUGGGUGAAAAAACCUCUGAGACCAUCGAAUCCCAGCUGUGCCCAUCCCCACCCUGUCCCCAGCCCAGAGCACUGAGUGCCAGCUCCAGGAAUUCCUGGGACACCUUUGCUCCAGGCUGAGCCCUUUCUCAGCCCCCAAAGUCUCCAUUAAAACAAUGAAAUUAAAUUCUCCCCCACCCCAGGCCUCCUCCUCAGCUCUGAGCCCCACAGGUCCCAUCCCAGCUCAGAGGGGUCAGGGUGGCCUCACCAGGAGCUUUUUCUUUAUCAUUUUUCUUUAGCAUUUUGUCCACACUGAGCCUCAUCCCUCCAGGCCCUCCUGGGCACAGUCUGAUCCUCAGCAGUUACUCAAUUUUAUGGGAAGGAGAAUUUGUGGAAGAAGGUCAAAGGAGAUUAAUAAAGGACAAGGUGUCUAAUAACUACACAAUAGUAGACAAAAAUAGGAGAAUGAUCAGUGCUCACACUGUGCUGCUUGCACUUAUUACCCUGCAUUAGCAGCAUUCAUAAUUUAAAACUUUAAUAAACUCCCAGCCUCUUUGGGCCAAGAUAGAUGUUGCUGCUGGUUUUAUGAGCUCCACAAUGGGCAGAAGCUUUAUGCAACGUGAUUAUCCUGCAGCAGCAAACACCUCAUCACUCUGGGAACAUCCUCAUGAGCAGCUCAAAGGGACCAAAUCAGACCAAAAGCAGCCUGGAGACAACACGGUUUCACCUUCAGGUUGGAUUGCUGUGGAGUGGAGGUCACUCAGGCUGGGAACAGAUGGUAAAGAGAUGGAAGGCUCCAAACAGCAAAGCUCAGAAUCCCAGACUGGUUUGGGCUGGAGGGGACCAACAGAUCACCCAGCUGCACCCCUCCAUGGGCCAGGGACACCUUCCAUGGACCAGGCUGCUCCAAGUCCAGUCCCAAGGGAUUGUUGAUGAUUUAAAAUGUUUCACAUUUUUGGAGUAACAGAGCUGUAUUGUGAGAGAAGACAACCACAUCCUCUGUGUGUCCUUGCAGGAUCUCAUUGUUUGAUUGCUGACAAGCAGAGCAAUUAAAACUGAAGUAAUUAAUAUCACCGUGCCCAAGGUCUGGCAGUGACUUUCCAGGCAAUUAAUCCCACGAGGUAAAAGCAGAUGUUGCACCCCCAGAAUUCCACAAACUGAAGACACUUCAUACCAACAGGUUUGAACACUAGAAACU